GAUGAAGAACGCAGCGAAAUGCGAUAAGUAGUGUGAAUUGCAGAAUUCAGUGAAUCAUCGAAUCUUUGAACGCACAUUGCGCCCCAUGGUAUUCCAUGGGGCAUGCCUGUUCGAGCGUCAUUAAGUCCACUUAAGCCCUGCUUAGUGUUGGGAGACUGCUCCAGCGGUGCUACCCUGUAGCUACCCUGCAGCUCCUCAAAGACAGCGGCGGAGUUGUGGUAUCCUCUGAGCUUAGUAACUUGUUCUAGCUUUCGAGUACACCACUUCCCCUGCCGUAAAACCCUUAAUUUUUAAUGGUUGACCUCGGAUCAGGUAGGAAUACCCGCUGAACUUAAGCAUAUCAAUAAGCGGAGGA
rnacentral:misc_RNA from 1 species